rnacentral:piRNA from 1 species
GGAUGGUCCUUUCCAUAUGAAUGUAG